UUAAUGGUUACAUAAGUUCUCGGGUCACAAGUACAUUGAACUGAGGAAACAGUUCGGACUCGGACAUGUCCACGGAGAACAGAUGAGCUACUGACACGAGCAAUCAUAAACAGAGCAGUUGACACUCCAAAAAGAGGGUGAAAUGUCAAUUUCUUUAUGGUAUCUCAUGGUGUAUUUAAAAAGGUGAGGAAAGGCGGCUUGUCAUAGUACUGAAAACACUUCUCCUGGUACUGAGGACUUGGAGAAACGGCAGUAGCUGCACAAACAAGCAGCAAGUUGCUCUGUAGCCGGAUGAUGCUCCAUCCUAUGUUGUGCAGCACUUUGGUCAGCAUUCAUCUUGUUUUUAAGGUAUAAAUAAAAUAAAAUUUGACCUUGACUGCAGAUAGCCUGGUCUGUUUACACACAAUACCUGUUAUCUU